rnacentral:rRNA from 1 species
AGAGUUUGAUCCUGGCUCAGGACGAGCGCUGGCGGCGUGCUUAACACAUGCAAGUCGAACGGAAAGGUCUCUUCGGAGAUACUCGAGCGGCGAACGGGUGAGCAACACGUGGGUGAUCUACCCUGCACUUCAGGAUAAGCCUGGGAAACUGGGUCUAAUACCGGAUAGGACCACGGGAUGCAUGUCCUGUGGUGGAAAGCGUUUAGCGGUGCGGGAUGGGCCCGCGGCCUAUCAGCUUGUUGGUGGGGUGAUGGCCUACCAAGGCGACGACGGGUAGCCGGCCUGAGAGGGUGUCCGGCCACACUGGGACCGAGAUACGGCCCAGACUCCUACGGGAGGCAGCAGUGGGGAAUAUUGCACAAUGGGGGCAACCCUGACGCAGCCAUGCCGCGUGAGUGAAGAAGGUCCUAGGAUUGUAAAGCUCUUUCAGAUGUGAGGAUGAUGACGAUAACAUCAGAAGAAGCUCCGGCUAACUUCGUGCCAGCAGCCGCGGUAAUACGUAGGGCGCGAGCGUUGCUCGGAGAAGAAGCUCCGGCUAACUUCGUGCCAGCAGCCGCGGUAAU